GUUUGUUCAUCAAAGUGAUGCUGGAACUGUGUACCUCUCCCUACUACCAAGCAAAUCAACCAGGUCCUGCCAUCAGCAUGAGAGGGGACUUACAAAAGGACCUUUUGUUGAGGACCUCCCUCAGAUCUAGACCUGGCUCUGUUUUCCAGGCAGUCUUCCAUCUUAACAUUGGUCAGGUCCAGAGCUUCUUAGCUAUACUAAAUUUGCUGUACCAUGUACCUGUGCAACCAUCAUUUUUUGUAGAUUGAGUUCCUUUUAAAUAAUUUAACUCUCAGUAAAGUGACAUUUUAUAAACAAGAAUUCUUUAAUUAACCACUCAGCAUAAUUUAAUUAACCACUAAGAAUAAUCACUUCUACAAUACAAAAUAAUAAUAAUUUUCUUUAAAAAGAAUGACUAUGUGAAACUGACAAAAGGUCAAAUAACUUUUAUUUACAGGUGAAGGUAGAAAUAGCUUUUUAAAAAACAAAUAAUUAAAUUUUCAAAUAUAUCAUGGUAUUUUUAAUGAAAAUAGUAAACAAAAAUAAUACAGAGAUUACAGUACAAAUCCUGAGCAAGAAUAAUAACCAUAAAGCUAUGAUGACUGGUUGAAAAGUAAGGUUAAAAGUAUAUUUAACAUGAACCAUAUGGCAACGUUUUCUAUAAAUAUAUUCUUAAAAAUUAAGCAAAUACACAACAGAAUAUGAACAGUGUUUUUUUCUGUCAGUUGAUGUCAGUUGUUACACAUGUUCUGAGCAGUUCCCUAUUUAAAAAUAUGAAUACUGAUACUGCAAAUGACUCCCUGCUAAAUUUUAAUUUAAUGCAAACAUUACUAAUGAAAUAAAUUCCAUCUUCUUGAAACAUAUUUGUUCAUUCCAUCUAAGUCAUUGAUUUGAGCAGGCAGAUUGGCUAUGAUGGACACAUUUCUGAAUCACAGUCUAAGGCAGGAGCUCUGCCUUGGGCCUGGGAAUGCUUGUUCCUGGUUUGCAUCUAGCAACAGAGGCUGUAUCUGUUGUCUGAAACCCUGUGGAUCUACUAUCAAUCACUCUUGGCAAUGCUGUGACAUUGUGUACAGCAGCUUUCUAUGUUCCUGUACAGUUUUUAUUGCUAGAUGCAGUAGCCCUGGUGAGAUGGUUGGGCCACUGAGUUUCGAAAGCACUGGUAAUAAAGAACAAAAUAUAUCCAGACCCUUAUAAACGAGUAUUUGGUGCUACCAAAAAUAACAGCUGGGCACCUGGUUGUCAAAUAACUAAAGACAGAUGCUUACACACAACAGUGCAACUAGUGCUGUGCUGCCUAAGCAUCCUUCUGGAUUAGGGCCUAUGUGUUGUUUAACUCUUGUCCAGUUUAUUUGUUUCUAGUAAUAUACAAAUGCACAUACAUACUGUACUGGGCUUCGUUUCAGCAUUUAGCCACAGUUAAUGGGUGAUGGCUUUUCAUCAAUUCAUGUCAAACUCUGGAAGACAAAACAAAACUCAGUCUGGAAAAAAACAAAAGUUAGAACUUUGUUACUACAACAAGAACAAAUAUGCAUGAAGCAUACAGUUCUUUUUCACACAGGCCAUGGAGGUAUGAUCCAUGGGCAAGUUGUUAUCUCUGGUUCUGCUUAGCUCCUUCAUAUAUUUAAGGAAACAGAAACCCUGUAUCUGUUUUAUUUAUUUUCUCAGGUAGAUGUGAAAAACACUGUGGAUCCUUCAGAUAACUCUAUGAACAGAGCAGUUCACUGAAUACCAAAUUUGCUAUCCU
ensembl:lncRNA